rnacentral:lncRNA from 1 species
AUAUAUAUAUAUUGGAAUUAGACUACUAUACUAUAAAUAGUACUAAGUCGACCGUUAGAUAAAGAAAUGUUCAGUUAGGGUGAUAGUAGUCUCCGAUUAGGACGAUAAUGGUUCCCUCGGGUUGAGUGGGUGGUUAGUUGAAUAGUAUGAUCUAACAGGUGAAAAAUAGUCAAAGAGGUAGAUAUAACGAAUUUUCUUUUAUUAAUAAACUUAGAAAAUUAUAAUUAUAAAAUAGUCCUCUAGAAAAUUUAUUUACAAAACUAAGUUUACAUGGUGAAUACAUUACAGCUUUCUAAAUACGGUAAAUUAUUCACCAUUUUUUUAAAAUUUUAAACUAUUUUUAAUAUUUAAUACCAUGCAUCUUUCGAAGUUUGCAUAUAUAAAAUAUAUAAAUUAGGGUAAAGGCAAUGAAUCAUUUACCUCUUUUAGAAAGCGAUAAAUGAUUCGCCACUUGUGUCAACCUAUUUUUAUAAAUAAAAAAUUUGAAUACCUAUUUUUAUAUUUAAAAUAUUUUGUAGUCUUAAUAGCCCAAAAACUCUAAAUCUAACGGCGAAAAUUUUGAUGGUACCAAGCGAUUUGUACUAUUGGAAGUAUAUAUAUAUAGUAGCUAAAUCACUACAACAAAAACGGUCUAUAGCGACACUUUUAAAUGUAGGUACAUGUCAAAAAAGUGCUGCUAGCUAAAAUUACCGACACUUUUAAAAAGUGUUGCUAUAUGUGGGGUCACUAGGUAUAUAGUGACAGUUAAAGAGUGUCGCUAUAACCUAAAAGAGUGCUGCUAAUUUACGAAUACUUAUUUAAGCAUUUAGCAACCGCCGAAACUUUAUCUCGUUGGCUGCGGUGGCGGAGGAGGACGACAGGAAAUGCUCUUCGUCUAGAAUUUCAGUGGAUUGAGUGAAGAGAGAAGAAAAGAUGGCAAUUGAUUUUUCUUUUUUUUUUUCUUUUCUGUUUGUAAUCGGGCCAAAUAGACUGGGUGUGGUGGGUUGAGUAAAGUAAUCUUUUAUUUUUAGUUGGAUUGGGCUUUAUAUUUAGGCAUUAGCAGAUAUUUUUUUAAGUUUUAGCAUAAAUGGGACACUUACUCAAAAGUGUUCCAAACAUGUGUCUCUAUAACCUAAUUCUGUUGUAGUGAAUUUAUAUAGAAAAAACUUCAAAUACCACCUCUGUGGUUUCACACUAUCUUAUUUUAGUACUUUGUGGUUUAAAGUGCAUCACUUUCAUAUCCUAUAAUUUCAUUUUUCUCUUUCUGUUAUCCCCUUCACUAAUUUUUUUUUUGUUAAAUCAGUGACAAAGUUAAAACUAAAGGGUACUAAAGUAAAUAUUCGAUAAACUUAGAUAGAGUAUCUGAAGUUUUUUUGUAUAUAAUUUAAUAAAAUGUUAACGAAAAAGCUGACGAAAAGAAAAAAAAAUAAAACCAAAGAAUACUAAAUCAAUACACUUUAAACUACAGAAUACUAAAAUAAGAAAGUAUGAAACCACAUAAAGCUGGUAUCUGAAGUUUACCCAUUUAUAUAUGUUGCAUCCAAUACUAAACUUCGUUUGCAAUUUAUGUCAGGCCAUAACUUAGGUGGCCACAGAGCCUUUAUUCUGUACGGACGUACGGCCAUUCUAUCAAAUUCUGGCGGACAGAGAGAAAGAGAAUGCCAGUUUGCAGAGGCUCAGAGAAGCAUAAACUUUUAUUUUCAGCAAACGAGAGAGAAAUAAAUUAAUCCAAAAAAAAAAGUUAUACCUUAAUUACUACUUGAGCAAAGUGGAAAGAGAGCGAAAAAAAUAAAAAAUAAAAAAAGGGAAAACUUUAAAAAAACCCUAUGUGGUUUUGUAGUUUCUCACUUUGCCAUCCUAUGGUUUAAAAUGUAUCAAUUUGUCCCCCUGUGGUUUCUUUUUUCUCUUUUUCUUAUUAAUUUCAUUAUUUUUUUUUUCUUAAAACAGUGAUAAGGUUAAAAUUAAAGGGUACUAUAGUGAAUAUUUGAUAAAUCUAGAUGGGUAUCUGAAGUUUUUUUUGUAUAUAAUUUAAUGAAAUAUUAAUGAAAAAGGUACCAAAAAGAUAAAAACGAAACCACAAGGGGGCAAUUUGAUACAUCUUAAACCAUAGGGGGGCAAAGUGAGAAACUACGAAACCACAGAGGGAGUUUUUGAAGCUUUUCCAAAGAAAAAAGAAAAAAAGAUAUACCUAAAAUAUUGAAUUAAAAUUUUAAGAAUACAAAAAAAAAAAAAGUUUUGUGAACAUUAAUUUUCAGAGUGAGGUUGGUAUACUUUUGGAAGCACGGAAUUUUUCAUAUUUUAAAUCGUUUUUGAUGUUGGGACUUUCGAAUCGACGAUCGCCUCCGUUAGACUUGAUCUAGAGUAUUUGAAGUACCUAGAAAAUAAAUUUUGUGAUUUUUUGAUAUCAUUUGUCUAGCGAUCAAAGGGGCUCAAAAUUAAUAAUUUUAAUGGCCGUGUGAGCCGUUUGCAAGUUUAAUGGUGCAGAAAUAUUCAAAUCAUAUGAAAUUUUGAUAGAAAAUUCUUUAUACUAUAUAAAAUAGGAUCAAUAUCUUUAAUCUAAAAUUUUAAUGUCAUAUCAUCAUAUUUUAAUUGUAAGAUUUUUUGAUUUUAAGCCCCUGAGAUCACUAGGCAAAUGAUAUUGAAAAAUCGCAAAAAUUAUUUUUUAACUAUUUCAAAUAUUUGAGAUCAAAUCUAACGAAACCGAUCGUCAAUUCGAAAGUCCCGACAUCGAAAACGACUUGAAAGCGCGGAGGCCGGG